CGCCGCGUGAGGGAUGAAGGCCUCUGGGCUGUAAACCUCUUUUAUCAAGGAAGAAGAUCUGACGGUACUUGAUGAAUAAGCCACGGCUAAUUCCGUGCCAGCAGCCGCGGUAAU
rnacentral:rRNA from 1 species